rnacentral:rRNA from 1 species
AACGAACGCUGGCGGUAGGCUUAACACAUGCAAGUCGAGCGCCCCGCAAGGGGAACGGCGGACUGGUGGGUAACGCGUGGGAACGUACCUUUUGGUUCGUAACAACUCCGGGAAACUGGAGCUAAUACCGGAUAAGCCCUAACGGGGAAAGAUUUAUUGCCGACAGGUCGGACCGCGUGUGAUUAGCUAGUUGGGGGGGUAACGGCUCACCAAGGCGACGAUCAGUAACUGGUCUGAGAGGAUGAUCAGCCACACUGUGACUGAGACCCGGCCCAGACUCCUACGGGAGGCAGCAAGGGGGAAUAUUGGACAACGGGCGCAAGCCUGAUCCAGCCAGGCCGCGAGAGUGAUGAAGGCCGUAGGGUUGUAAAGCUCUUUUGUCCGGGAAGAUAAUGACUGAACCGGAAGAAGAAGCCCCGGCUAACUUCGG